rnacentral:rRNA from 1 species
ACGAGACCUUGACGGAGUUUACUCAGUCAAGUGACAGUGGCGGACGAGCGAGUAACACGUAAGAACCUGCCCCGUACUCAGGGAUAACUGGUCGAAAGAUCAGCUAAUACCGGAUGGUCCCGAAAGGGUAAAGAUUUAUCGGUACGGGAGGGGCUUGCGGCCUAUCAGUUUGUUGGUGAGGUAAAGGCUUACCAAGACUAUGACGGGUAGCUGAUGUGAGAGCAUGAUC